rnacentral:rRNA from 1 species
UACGUAGGGUGCGAGCGUUAAUCGGAAUUACUGGGCGUAAAGCGUGCGCAGGCGGCUUUGCAAGACAGAUGUGAAAUCCCCGGGCUCAACCUGGGAACUGCAUUUGUGACUGCAAGGCUAGAGUACGGCAGAGGGGGAUGGAAUUCCGCGUGUAGCAGUAAAAUGCGUAGAUAUGCGGAGGAACACCAAUGGCGAAGGCAAUCCCCUGGGCCUGUACUGACGCUCAUGCACGAAAGCGUGGGGAGCAAACAGG